UCCUACGGGAGGCAGCAGUGAGGAAUAUUGGUCAAUGGACGCAAGUCUGAACCAGCCACGUCGCGUGAAGGAAGACGGCCCUACGGGUUGUAAACUUCUUUUGUAAGGGAAUAAAGUGAUUCACGUGUGUUUCAUUGCAUGUACCUUACGAAUAAGGAUCGGCUAACUCCGUGCCAGCAGCCGCGGUAAUA
rnacentral:rRNA from 1 species